rnacentral:ncRNA from 1 species
AUUUAUUAGAUAAAAGGUCGACGCGGGCUUUGCCCGUUGCUCUGAGGAUUCAUGAUAACUCGACGGAUCGCACGACCUUUGUGCCGGCGAUGCAUCAUUCAAAUUUUUGCCCUAUCAACUUUCGAUGGUAAGAUAGUGGCCUACUAUGGUGGUGACGAGUGACGGAGAAUUAGGGUUUGAUUCCAGAGAGGGAGCCUGAGAAACGGCUACCACAU